rfam:Gossypium raimondii chromosome 1, whole genome shotgun sequence.
AUCCCAUGAUGAGGACACUUACGAAGUAACUCCUUGAAUCGCUCCCAAGCUCAUACAAAGACUCGUCAUCUAAUUGUUGGAAAGUUGUGACCUCGUUUCUUAACUU